UACAGAGGUCUCGAGCGUUAGGCGGAAUCACUGGGCUUAAAGCGUGUGUAGGCGGAUUGGUAAGUACCUUGUGAAAUCCCACGGCUCAACCGUGGAACUGCUCGGUAUACUGCCUGUCUUGUGCAACCUAGGGGCGAGCGGAACAGAUGGUGGAGCGGUGAAAUGCGUAGAUAUCAUCUGGAACGCCAAUGGUGAAAACAGCUCGCUGGGGGUUUGCAGACGCUGAGACACGAAAGCGUGGGUAGCAAACGAG
rnacentral:rRNA from 1 species